ensembl:snRNA U6 U6 spliceosomal RNA
AGUGCUUGCUUCGGCACUGUAAAAUGGGAAUGAUGCAGAGAAAAUUAGCGUGCAUGGCCCCUGCGCAAGGACAGCAUGCAAAUUCGUGAAGGGUUCCAUGUUUUU